AAAAUUUUACCUAGAUUUAUCCCCUCUUCUUAUAUCGAAUAUAUAUUGAUGCUAUCUGUUUCGGGACGACUAUACUCCUACACCAUCUAACUCAGACAUCAUACAUGGAUUCAUUAUAGAACGAAGGAACCCUCGCCGCCACACCACUAUUGCAUCUCGCCGCCACACCACCAUUGCAUCUUGCCGCCAUCGUCACCAUCGAAUCUCAACUUCUUUGCGUCGCAUCUCAACUUCCCCCGCCAUUGGUACCUUGUCGCCUUCAUCUGGUGUUUUUCUGAGAUUGGAGUUUAUUGUCAAGUUGAAAGAGGCAAAGGGUUCUGCCAUUGCUGCUUGCAUAAAGGUAACUCAGCAACUAAAUUAUUUUGAAGAAAAAUCUGCAGGAAAUUUGAGAGGUAAAUUUACAUCUUGUGCUUGUUUUUCUGCUUUUUAAUUUAUAUGAAAAUUUUAAUUAAAAGUAUAUGAAAACAUUAUUAUAAAAAUAUUUUUGAAGUAUUUAAUUUUAGUCUUUAAUUACAAUACUACUAAACAAAAUUUAUAUAUGUUCACAAAUCAUAACUAAAUAUUAAUUAAAGUAUGAUUCAAAGAAAAAGCUAAGUAUAAUUAAGUACAUGAUGCAACCAAAUUACCAAAAUAAGAAUAAAUACUAUUCAAUAUGAUCAAUACCAAUGUCAUAAUCCCCACUAUCUUCAUCAGUUUCAAUAUUAGGUUGUGAUGAUGAACUUGGACGAUAAGAAGAUCCAACAAAUACUGAAUGUUGCAUAAGAUUCAACUUUUGUUGGUCUCAACCAUCUCUUUUUCUUGUUGUUGUAGUCGUUGCUUCAUCAAAAACUUUUCUUGCUCUUGUCGUUGCAAUGGUUCAUUCAAAGCAUAAACUUGAUUUUUCAAAACAUCAACCUAAUGAUUAGAAAACAUUGUUGGUUGACCUGGAAAAGAUUUUGGAUAUAGAUCCAAGACUAAAUAUUCUCCCUUCCUCCCAUUUACAUCCACCCUAUCAAUAUGUCUUUGUUUGAUUGACUAUCGACUUCAUUCUCUCCUAAAACAAAAGUUGAAUCUUCAUGAGAUAAUUCAAUUUUUUGUUUUUGAAUUUCUUGUAAAAGAAAAUAUAAAUUUGUUUAUAAACAUUUUCAUAUGAUUUGAAUUAUUAAUUAGUUUUUGGAACACAAGUAAUACACAAGAAGUUAUGAGCUUACACAAGCAGAUUUUGCAUGAACACUGACCUAGUUUUUAUCUUUCUUACGAUGAAUACAAAAAUAAAAGUUACUCAAUCUCACUGAAUUGGGUCUUCCCCUUUCACCCCCUUUUGUGAAAAUAUAAAGGUCUUAAUGUCGUUAAUUUUUAAAUAUAAAAUAUAAAAUAGAAAAUAGAAAAGUAAUAAUACCAUUCUUUUCCAAUGCACUCGAAGAGGAACUGAUCUGUCGGUGUGAAGAGAUACAUCGUUCAUAAAAUUGUGAUUUAUUUUAUUUAUGUGUCAGAUUUAUUUUUGAAAUUAGAGGAAUUCCAAAUUGCCUUCAAUUGUUAACACGUGCUCUCUCCCAUCCAAGUUGGCUUACUUUCCAAAUCUUUAAGUGCAUCUUGCAUUAGUUGUGACAUCUCAGCUGCACUUCUUUUUUCAAAGUUGCGUUGUAUCAUGUCGGUUUAAUUUAGUAGCCAUGUAAAACUUUUCUGUAAUGGAAAAAACACGUCAAGAAUUAAAUUUUGUAUGUUAGAACCUAGUAUUUAAUAGACUAAUACAUAAAAUGACUAAAUGAAUAUUAUUGAUAUAACAAUUCAGCAGUAGCUAUUAACAGUAGCAAUUACAGAACAAAAGGAAAUUACUCUUGCUGCAAUAGGAAUAAUAAAUUGCUAAUAACCAUCAUUAAUCCUCUAGAAAUUAGAGAGCCUUAUAUAUAUGUGUGUGUAACGAUAUAAGAAUAAAAAACAAAACAGAAUAAACAAAGCAAAAGCAAUAGAAAACAAAGGAAUAAAACAGAGGCAGAAGAUGAACAAAACGGAGGAACAAACCAGAAGUAAUACCUUACGCACAUACAUUAGUCUAGCAAUCUAGAUAGGAGAGAAAUUAAAAACCAUACAAUACAUGAACUAACUAAUUAAUCAACCAAACAUAUUACAUUGAGAAAAGUUUUAUGAGCUAGCUAGCUAGGUUGUUGAUGACUUUAAACAUUAAUUAAUUGGGUGCAUUCUAUCUUUAUAUGGAUUAAGUGGAGAAAGAACAUCCUAUAAUUUCUGAUUUUCUAGAAAAGCCUAAGCAGAGUAAGUGCAGAUCAUAACUUUAGAGACUCUUAAAGGGAAAAUCCUAAUUGUAUGCUCAUAUUUAAUAAUAUUCAUAUUGUUAUCCAUACCAUUUUUUUUUUUUAUUUAUUAAAAAAGUUGAAUGUAGGAAAAAAGUUAUGAUUGACAGAAAAUAAGUUGAAUGUAGUAAUAUUAUCUUAAACAAGUCGAACAAAUCAUUUCGUUUAUUUCUAGUUAAUUUUUUUCAUAAUGGUUUUCUCUUCUCUAAACUAGGACGUAUGAUACUAGCAAUUGUUGAAACUACUAGUUUGUUUUGAUCAAUCUAUGUAAAAAACUAAUAUAUAAAGUUAUGUAGCUUAACUUAAUAAUAAAAUAAAAUAAAACAUCAACAAAAUGUAAUUUACUCACUCAUCUUUUUUUAGGAGUAUUGAAAGCUUUGAUAUAUUUUCUCCUCCACUACUAUGACUAGAUGAAGAUUGAGCCGUUUCAUUAAUUAUAACUUUUCAUUAAUCAUAACUUAAGAAGGGAUUGGUCGAGAUCGAGGUUGAGAUUUGUUUGGUGCGUUGAGGUCAAGGUUGAGGUCGAGCCGCGUAAUUAAUCAUAACCUUAUAUUUCUAUCUCAACCACAACUUGUUCCCCUUUAUUUCAACCACAAUCCAACCAAUUCAUCCAUUCUCAAUUCCAAUCACGACCUCGAUCCACCCAAUCUCAUUCUCCACUAUCUCAACCCCCAUCCAUAUAUCGAACUCGUCCUCAAUCCACUAAAUCAACGCAACCUCAAACUCAACCUUGAUCACAACCCCAAUCCACAUAAUCUCACCCUCCACCAUCUCAAGCUCAACCUCAAUGCACCAAAGCUCACCCUCCACCAUCUCAACCUCGAUCUCGACCAAUCCCUUCUCAAAGUUAUCAUUAAUGAAGCAACUCAAUCUUUAUCUAGUCAUAUUAGUUGAGAAGAAAAUGAACAAAACGAAUACUCCCAGAAAAUGAUAGGUGAGUAACUUAUAUUUUAUUGAUGUUACAUUUUAUUAUUAAAUUACACAACAUAACUUUAUAUAUUGUUUUUUUACAUAUGUUUGAUCAAUACACACUAGUAGUUUCAACAAUUGUUAAUAUCAUACGUUCUAGUUUAGAGGAGCAAAAACCAUGUAAAAAGUUAACUAGGGAUGAACGAAAUGGAUUGUUCGACUUGUUUAAGGUAAUAUUAUUACAAUUAACUUAUUUUUUGUCAAUCAUAAUUAGUUCAUUUUAAAUCAAUGCCAAAUGGUUCUAUAUAGGAUGCUGAUUUUGUUUUAUUAAACAAAAUAAUUCCCUUGAUCUUGGGUAAGUCUUUAUGGCUAUCACAUGCAUUAAUUUUUCAAGUUGGGAAAUGAAUGAAAUUCAAGAGAAAACUUUGAAGAAUAAAAUAGGUUUCAUCGAAAUUUUGUAGCCGGAAAAUCAAUAGUGUUGUUUAAAAAGUUAAAUACAAAAGCUAUAUGCAAGAGACUAUCAUUUAAAAAAUCAAUGAUUAUUACGAACAAAUUUUAAUUUUUCUUUUUUUAUAAAUAGUUCAAAUAUUUUUCCUAAGUAACUAAUUAUCCUACAAUAUAUAAUUAGUGUUUGAUGUACUUAAAGUAGUACGGGAUAAAAUUUGAUUCUUGACAUGUUUUUUUUUAUUAGAGAAAAGGUUUACAUGACCACCACAAUGCAACUUUGAAAAAAGGGUGCAGCUACGAUUUCCCAACAAAUUAAAGAUGCACAAUUUUUUUUAGAAAAUAAGCCAACUUGAAUGAGAUAGAGUAUGUGGGAACAAUUGAAGGCAUAUUAGAAUUCCUCUAAGUUAAAAAAAAAACAAAAAACUGACGGAUAAAAGAAAUCUCAAUUCAAUAGGUGAUUCAUCUUUUCACAUUGGUGGAUUAAUUUCUCAUGAGGUGCAUUGGAAAUGAAUUGUAUUAAUAAUUUUCUAGUUUAUAAUUUAAAAUUAACGACAUUAAAACAUAUUUUAUAAUUUACAUAAGGAAAUCGAAAGGAACAACAUUUGGUGACUUUUAUUUUGUAGUAAUCGAAGAAACAAUAAAAAUUAGGUCGGUAUUCAUGCAUAAUUUGCUUGUUUAAGAAAAAUUAAAAAACAAAACUUUUAUUACGGGAGAGGAUGAAGCCGAUAUGCAACCAAUCAAAUAUAUGUCAUCUGAUAUUAAUAUAUGGCUGAUAUUAAUAUAUGGGUAGAUGUACUUGGGGAGAUGAAAUAGAUAAUAUUUAGUACUUUGAUUCCAAGUCAACCAACAAUGUUUUAAGAAGAGGUUGAUUUUUUGAGAAGUCAAAUUCAUGCUUUGAAUGAAUAGUUGCAAAGACAAGAGAAAUAAAGGUUGUUGAUGAAACAACAGUUGCAACGAUAAGAAAAAGAUAUGGUGAAUCCAACAAAAAUUUAACCUUUCUCGUGCAACAUUUAGGAUUUGUUGGAUCUUCUUCUCGUCUAUGUUCAUCACCAUAAUUUAACAAUGAAAAUGAAGAUAUUGGUGAUGAAAACAUUCGUAUUGAUCAUAUUGAGUAGUAUUUAUUUUUAGGUUUAAUUGCAAUUUUGUUUCCUUUAUUUUUACCAAUUCAUAAAAUUAGUCUCCUUAUUUUAAAAUUCGAAAAUUUUGGUUCCUCACUCAAAUUUUUUAAUCUAAAAAAUGACGAUUUAACAUAAUUUAAAAGAUACGAUAUACAAUUUCAUAGUUUAGAAUCAUCUGAAUGCAUUAAUUAUUCACAUGAUUUUGUUAAAUUACAAGUAUGAAAAAUUUUCUGAAUAAUUUUACGUCAAUGUAUCAUAUGUCACAUUAUUUGAGUAUGUUACUGUGCAUUUUUUAGUUAAAAUGUCAGGAAUGAGCUAAAAAUGUCGACUUUUAAAUAAGAGAAUUAAUUUCGUGAAUCAAUAAAAAUAAGUAGAUUAAAAUUGUAAUUAAGCUUUAUUUUUAUAUCGAUAAUUUAGUUGUAUUUAGUUGUAUCAUGUACUUGAUUAUACUUAA